UAAUAGAGCUAACCGAUGCAGAUGCAACAAACCUGACUAGUCUUCUUUUUGCUUCUGUCAGAAAGGCUGUUGGAGAGAGGAUUGUGCCUGCUUCUGAUAAUCGGAAGCAAUAUUUCAAUAAAGUCCAGAAAGAAAUGUUUGAAAACAAUAGGCGGGAUUUAACUGUUGCCAUGAUGUAGAACUACCCAUUACUUCUUCGUAAAUUCAUGGCUGACAAGGCUAAAAUUUCAUCAUUGGUCGAGAUUAUUUUAUAUAUGAACCUGGAGUUUUAUUCUCUGAAGAGACAGGAGCAGAAUUUCAGAAAUACUCUUCUUCUCAUCAAAGAUGCAUUUUUCAAGCACGGUAGAAGGAUGCAUUGAGAUCUUGUGUGAAGGCUAUUGUAUUAUGUUCCACUGAGAGUCAAGGAGAGCUGCAAGAUUUUUCUCGUAACAAACUAAAGGAGCUUGAGGAUGAGCUUCUUGAUAAGCUUAAAUCUGCAACUAAAGAAGUGAUUGAUGGGGAGGAUGAGUAUUCUCUUCUCGUGAAUUUAAAAAGGUUGUACGAGCUUCAAUUGUUAAGGCCUGUAUCAAUUGAGGAAUUUUAUGGAGAUUGUAUUACAAUCUUGCACAGCUUCAGAAACUUGGACAAUGAAGUUGUUAGUUUUCUGCUGCUGAAUAUGUCAAUCGAUGUAGCCUGGUCUUUUCACUCUAUAGUAAACAGUGAAACUGUUGUCUCUGAAGGAGCCUUAUUCUCUCUCCU